rnacentral:rRNA from 1 species
UACGUAGGUGGCAAGCGUUAUCCGGAAUUAUUGGGCGUAAAGAGCGCGCAGGUGGUUGAUUAAGUCUGCUGUGAAAUGUACCGGCUCAACCGGUGCCUUGCGGCGGAUACUGCAUAGCUGGAGUACUGGAGAGGGAAGUGGAAUUCCCGGCGUAGCGGUGAAAUGCGUAGAUAUCGGGAGGAACACCAGUGGCGAAGGCGGCUUUCUGGCCAGUUACUGACGCUCAUGCGCGAAAGCUGGGGUAGCGAACCGGAUUAGAUA